rnacentral:rRNA from 1 species
CGGUGUCUAAUACUGGAUAUGAGCUCUCAUCGCAUGGUGGGGGUUGGAAAGAUUUUUCGGUCUGGGAUGGGCUCGCGGCCUAUCAGCUUGUUGGUGAGGUAAUGGCUCACCAAGGCGUCGACGGGUAGCCGGCCUGAGAGGGUGACCGGCCACACUGGGACUGAGACACGGCCCAGACUCCUACGGGAGGCAGCAGUGGGGAAUAUUGCACAAUGGGCGGAAGCCUGAUGCAGCAACGCCGCGUGAGGGAUGACGGCCUUCGGGUUGUAAACCUCUUUUAGCAGGGAAGAAGCGAGAGUGACGGUACCUGCAGAAAAAGCGCCGGCUAACUACGUGCCAGCAGCCGCGGUAAUACGUAGGGCGCAAGCGUUAUCCGGAAUUAUUGGGCGUAAAGAGCUCGUAGGCGGUUUGUCGCGUCUGCUGUGAAAUCCCGAGGCUCAACCUCGGGCCUGCAGUGGGUACGGGCAGACUAGAGUGCGGUAGGGGAGAUUGGAAUUCCUGGUGUAGCGGUGGAAUGCGCAGAUAUCAGGAGGAACACCGAUGGCGAAGGCAGAUCUCUGGGCCGUAACUGACGCUGAGGAGCGAAAGGGUGGGGAGCAAACAGGCUUAGAUACCCUGGUAGUCCACCCCGUAAACGUUGGGAACU